rnacentral:rRNA from 1 species
UAGGCGAAGCGUGCGAUUGGAUUGCACGUCUAAGCAGUAAGGCUGAGUAUUAGGCAAAUCCGGUACUCGUUAAGGCUGAGCUGUGAUGGGGAGAAGACAUUGUGUCUUCGAGUCGUUGAUUUCACACUGCCGAGAAAAGCCUCUAGAUAGAAAAUAGGUGCCCGUACCGCAAACCGACACAGGUAGUCAAGAUGAGAAUUCUAAGGUGAGCGAGCGAACUCUCGUUAAGGAACUCGGCAAAAUGACCCCGUAACUUCGGGAGAAGGGGUGCUCUUUAGGGUUAACGCCCAGAAGAGCCGCAGUGAAUAGGCCCAAGCGACUGUUUAUCAAAAACACAGGUCUCUGCUAAACCGUAAGGUGAUGUAUAGGGGCUGACGCCUGCCCGGUGCUGGAAGGUUAAGAGGAGUGGUUAGCUUCUGCGAAGCUACGAAUCGAAGCCCCAGUAAACGGCGGCCGUAACUAUAACGGUCCUAAGGUAGCGAAAUUCCUUGUCGGGUAAGUUCCGACCCGCACGAAAGGCGUAACGAUUUGGGCACUGUCUCAACGAGAGACUCGGUGAAAUCAUAGUACCUGUGAAGAUGCAGGUUACCCGCGACAGGACGGAAAGACCCCGUGGAGCUUUACUGUAGCCUGAUAUUGAAAUUCGGCACAGCUUGUACAGGAUAGGUAGGAGCCUUUGAAACGUGAGCGCUAGCUUACGUGGAGGCGCUGGUGGGAUACUACCCUAGCUGUGUUGGCUUUCUAACCCGCACCACUUAUCGUGGUGGGAGACAGUGUCAGGCGGGCAGUUUGACUGGGGCGGUCGCCUCCUAAAAGGUAACGGAGGCGCUCAAAGGUUCCCUCAGAAUGGUUGGAAAUCAUUCAUAGAGUGUAAAGGCAUAAGGGAGCUUGACUGCGAGACCUACAAGUCGAGCAGGGUCGAAAGACGGACUUAGUGAUCCGGUGGUUCCGCAUGGAAGGGCCAUCGCUCAACGGAUAAAAGCUACCCCGGGGAUAACAGGCUUAUCUCCCCCAAGAGUUCACAUCGACGGGGAGGUUUGGCACCUCGAUGUCG